UUUUUUUUUUUUUUACAUGAGAGUUUCAGAGAGAGUUGACUCACCUGCGUCACAAGAUUGGACUGGAAGGAUGUCAUGCCAAAGAUAAGUGAAGACCAAUGUGGGAUAAAUAUGUGAACCUACUGCAUCCAUCCUGCGUCCGUCCCAACCAUUUUCCCUCUGGGUUGCCCUGGACACGGAUGAUGUCCACGCAUUCUCCCUGCUUCAGAGCGAGGUCGGUUUUACUGCUUUUGCAGUCCACGCGAGCCUUCCCCUGGUGGACGACCUCCAGGGGGCCAACCAACUAAAAGGGCAGUGGAUCCCCAGUCUCUUCUGCAGCUUCUCCUCCUGCAGACGCAGCUCCAUGGAGUCCACCAGGUCGUAGAUGCUGUCCAGGGACCACAUGGGUGAUGGGAACCACGCCUUGACAUCGCUGUCCUUCCCCACCACCAACAUGCUGAAAUAGUCCUUACUGAUCUUCAGCUGCUCUCUCAGAUUGUUGACCAUGUCACGGGACAACGGCUCAACUUCACUCUGACUGCGGCCUGGAAGAAGAACAACAUGGUGAAAAAUCAGUUUCAACAUGGCGAAGUGGCGAAUACCUGAAGAGAGACCCAAAAAUUAGUAUUGGGUAAAUGUGAGCAACAAAUGGUAGUGGCCGGUGGUGGAAAAGUACUCAGAAGUUUUACUACAGUAAAAGCAGUAAUGCCACACUGUACAAAUUCGUAAAAAUAAAAAAAAGUAAAAACCCUGCAUUAAAUUUUGUACGUAAGUAAAACUUCAUAAGUAUUCACGUCAUAAUAUACUAAAUGGAAAAAUGCUCAUUUUG